rnacentral:rRNA from 1 species
UACGUAGGGUGCGAGCGUUAAUCGGAAUUACUGGGCGUAAAGCGUGCGCAGGCGGUUUGUUAAGCCAGAUGUGAAAGCCCCGGGCUCAACCUGGGAACUGCGUUUGGUACUGGCAAGCUAGAGUACGGCAGAGGGGGGUGGAAUUCCACGUGUAGCAGUGAAAUGCGUAGAGAUGUGGAGGAGCACCGAUGGCGAAGGCAGCCCCCUGGGCCGAUACUGACGCUCAGGCACGAAAGCGUGGGGAGCAAACAGG